ACUUGUUUUUUUUUUUUUUUCAUUUUUCAAGUCUAAGAGGCAACAGCAGUAUAAAUGAGUGUUCAUCGGACUCUCUUUACUAAUAGUAAUUUUCAUAAUGAAUUCCUACUUAGCACUUUCAAAACAUUUCAUAGCUACUAACAAAUCCUCAAAACACAUCUGUGAAAUAUGUAUUACUAGAAUGCUUAGAAUUACUAGAAAUACUGCAAAAACGUUAUUCAGACCUAUUUUAAGAAUGAACAUCUGUAUUUGUAUGGCACAAGGUUAUGCAUUAUUCAUUAUUGGCUAUUCAUCAAUCCUUAUUCUCCUGUUCACAAAAUCUUCCAUCCAAUCAGAGAGCAGAAACAGAACUGUGUAACCCAGAUGACCAAUCACAUUUCAGAAGAGCUGAUAAUGGAAGUGAAUGACUCACAUAUAUCCCAUCUCUUCAAAUAAACUCUGGUACACUGUUCUGUGAGUAAGGAAGACAUGACCAGAGAUCAGCAAUGGUUUGUGAACAAUUCAGAAACAGAAGAAAAGUUUUAUGAUCAGAUUAUUUAUUCACCAUGAAUAAUUGACCUGCUCUAAUGAAUAUCCCCAUUUUAUAGUUAGGAAAACUGAUACCCAGGGAGGUUAACCAACUUGUCCAGUUUCUACACUUAAUUUAGAACUGAGUUUAGAACUCAAUGAUUCCUGGUUCCCAGUAUCUAGACAGGAAACAUAAGAAAAGCGUUGACAUCCAUUUGGGUUCUGUGUGACAUUUGGUGUUUGCUAAUUUGCAUUUCAGCAUCUGAGGAGGAGAGCAGAAUAUAUAUCUGGCAACUGAUUUGCAUAAUUUCUUUUACUCUGAAUGCCAUAGGAGUCACCAUCAUCAUCUUGAUAUGCAAGAAAAUCACAGGGAAUAAACCAAUGAGUAGCAGCAUGCCAUGCACUCCUGCGGAGAGAAAGAAUUUGAAUCAAGAUGGAGGAGAGAGACACCAGCACCAGCCAACACCUAAAUGCCACCAGAGUGUUUCCUAUCAAAAUGAGAACUGAUGUGGCAAACCCACAGGUGCCGAGGCUCUGAACUGACAAGCCAUGAGGUGCCAGGGCUCAACCCUGACACAAAUGAAGCACUGCUUUUAUCACCUGUGUAGUCUCAGAACCUGCCUUAAUAACCAUUUACCACGUACAUAGUGCUUCUCACCCAUAGCCCUCAAAGUGCUAUAUAUAGCGGCAAACCCCAGGAAGUCGUCAGCGCAAGAGAACCCCAUUUUCAAAAUCAAAGGACAGUCAAAGAGAGACACUGGUACCCAGAGCAAUGUUUCAAGAAGAGAACGAGGAAGGCAAUCUGAAUCAUUCAUUUGUGGAAGGGGUUGAAGAGAUUGAAGACUCCGUUUUUAAAAAUUAAGAGAAGGUAAACUUUCACUGCUGCAAAUGAAAAAAGCAGAGAAACCAGUAUCACUAACUCAGCAUUCAAACCAGCCCCAAAGAAGAACUUAAGAGACUUAUCACUACAAAAGUUUUUUUUUCUCCUGCUGACAAUAGUUCAUCUUAAUUAAUUAGCCUCUUAGAGUUGGUAUGGCAACUCCCACCUUUUCAUGUUCUCUGUAUGUAUAUAU